rnacentral:misc_RNA from 1 species
UAUUUUGCAGCUAUAAGUCUCUUGAUGGAAAUAGUUCAGAUACAACUUUGAGAAGGGGAGAAGAAAAGAGUUGCACAAUAAAAUCACUUCAAAAGUUCAAAAUCGGUCAUCCAACUCCAGAAACAAUGGGAUGCCAAUUGGGCCCAAAGAAAGUUUGAAUACUUGUGAUAGAGAAGCCAAGCAGAGACUAGAGGAGAUGCAAGAAGUUUAUAUAAAGAGAAAAGCUUUGGAACAGAAG